UGUGUCUCUGUGUGCGGGGAAGCACCUCAUUGUCUAAUAAGCAGGAACGUCAGUGAUAGCACACUCAGAGUUGUCAGGGAAAAGGCACCGGAUUCUGCAAAUGGAAUCACGGUCUGUGAUCUUGCUCUCAACAGGUAACAUUUCUGCUCAUUCUCUUCAUGGGACCCUCUUGAAGAAUAAUGCUACACUCCACUUCCUCAUGCCUUCCAAGUUCUCCACCUAGCGUCUGGCCACAUUCCACAGAAAGUUAUUCUCAAUGAAAUCAGCUAUUUCAAAUGUGUUUCUUUGUUAUGAAUGACAGGCUGUGUAGGGAAGAUAUCAUUGGACUUCUGACUCUCUUUCUUCCACUCCCCAAGUACUGAGGUCACAACCUUCGACACCACAUCGAGUUUGUGGGAGGCUAGAGAGUUGACCAAGGAUUUUAUGCACGCCAAGUAAGCAUUUUGCCAACUUAACAAUGCCCCUGGGCCAACCAACAUUCCCUGACUCAUUAUACUGAAUUUCUGAAGCAUAAGAUAUUAUUAUGCUUCACACUUCCUUUCUCUUCUAGAUCAUUUGAAUUCAAUUUUCCCUUAUUUAAACAUUUAGUUUUCAUCUUAAUAUUCAGGCUGUUUUAUUCCUAUUUAUUCUGGGGACUUCACUGCUCAUUUUGGGGCACAAGUGAAAUGGGGCAUUUUCUUGUCUGUGAGUGUUCUUAGAUGUUUGGAGUUGAGCAACACAUGGACUUUUGAAUAUCCUCUCCUCUCCCCUCUCUUGUUGAAAUCCUAUGUUGCCACUCCCUCCAGAAUUAAAGUUUCUAUUCCAAAGUAGCAUAUGACAGUGUUACAAAUAUUUUAACUGUGG
rnacentral:lncRNA from 1 species